UACGGGGGGAGCAAGCGUUGUUCGGAUUUACUGGGCGUAAAGGGCGCGUAGGCGGUCAGCACAAGUCAGUUGUGAAAUCUCCGGGCUUAACUCGGAAAGGUCAACUGAUACUGUGCGACUAGAGUGCAGAAGGGGCAACUGGAAUUCUCGGUGUAGCGGUGAAAUGCGUAGAUAUCAGGAGGAACACCGAUGGCGAAGGCAGGUCUCUGGGCAUUAACUGACGCUGAGGAGCGAAAGCAUGGGGAGCGAACAGG
rnacentral:rRNA from 1 species